UACGUAGGGUGCGAGCGUUAAUCGGAAUUACUGGGCGUAAAGCGUGCGCAGGCGGUUUUGUAAGCCAGAUGUGAAAUCCCCGGGCUUAACCUGGGAAUGGCAUUUGGGACUGCAAGGCUCGAGUGCGGCAGAGGAGACUGGAAUUCCUGGUGUAGCAGUGAAAUGCGUAGAUAUCGAGAGGAACACCUGCGGCGAAGGCGGGUUGCUGGGCUGACACUGACGCUGAUGCGCGAAAGCUAGGGUAGCAAACGGG
rnacentral:rRNA from 1 species